rnacentral:rRNA from 1 species
UACGGAGGGUGCAAGCGUUAUCCGGAUUCACUGGGUUUAAAGGGUGCGUAGGUGGAUUGGUAAGUCAGUGGUGAAAUCUCCGGGCUUAACCCGGAAACUGCCAUUGAUACUAUCAGUCUUGAAUACCGUGGAGGUCAGUAGAAUAUGUCAUGUAGCGGUGAAAUGCUUAGAUAUGACAUAGAAUACCAAUUGCGAAGGCAGCUGGCUACGCGAAUAUUGACGCUGAUGCACGAAAGCGUGGGGAUCAAACAGG